CAAAUACUCCCUCCGUCCGAAAAUACUUGUGAUCAAAAUGGAUAAAAGGAAAUGUAUCUAGACAUAUUUUAGUUUUAUAUACACCUCCUUUUAUCCAUUUUGAUGACAAGUAUUUUCGGACGGAGGGAGUAGAAA
rnacentral:pre_miRNA from 1 species